GAUCAUGGCUCAGGACGAACGCUGGCGGCGUGCCUAACACAUGCAAGUCGAACGGAACUUUUUUAAAAGAUUUCUUCGGAAUGAAUUUGAUUAAGUUUAGUGGCGGACGGGUGAGUAACGCGUGAGUAACCUGCCUCUGAGAGGGGAAUAACAUUCUGAAAAGAAUAGCUAAUACCGCAUAACAUAUAUUUAUCGCAUGGUAGAUAUAUCAAAGAUUUAUCGCUUAGGAGAUGGACUCGCGUCCG
rnacentral:rRNA from 1 species